UCAUUCAACUAGACACUGGCAUUUCCUGGGCACUAAGACGAGGAAAAGCCAAACUGGGAAGCAGGUGGGAGAAGAAGGGACAUGCACAUGAAGGAAAAAGAAGAAACUGUGAUGUAAAUACCUGCAGCUGAGAGAGACUAUUUCUGAACCAGCACGCUUGCAGGAGCAGUAGGAAUGACCAUAAAACUAAUGAGGUGAAAGUACAAUCACUGAAGCUAAUAUAAUCAGAGUGAUGAGACAAAAGUCUGCUGCCAUGAAAUACUGCUGAAGAAGAUGACAUUGACAAUACUGAUAGCAACACAGAUCACACACAGCUGCUGCUUCCACUAUGAGAAACAUGAAUUCUGGAAAGCAUAUUCAUUAUCUGGCUGUUCAAAGCAACAGAGCAUGCAAGCCUCACCCUGCCUGGCUUACCUGAGAAAUCAACAUCUCUCUCUGAUUAAGUGACUGCCAGCCAGUCACCUUCUCACUCUAACCUUGAUGUGGCAGGACUGUGACAAGCGCAUACAGUGUAACAUCACAAAAUAUUUCACUGAUGCUCACAAAUAAAUAGCUUAAUUUGUUUUAA